AAUUUGAUUUGUAUAACCAGGGUAAGAUGUGUGUUUCGUGGCACUUCAUUCCCUUGGUUAAUCUAGGGGGAAUCAAUGUUUUGGCAUAGCGAGUUCCUCGUUUUGCUCGGUGAAGCCACAAUACAAAUAGGCUGUUUUAUUCUAUACGUCACAUCUCAAUGAGAGCUAGCAAUUAGAUGAGUCUAAUGGUGUUCCUCUACUGAUUAAGCAGAGAAUUUGUCGAAUGUUUUCCGCUGAUGGCCAAGCAACUAUCAAUUUUAUCACAGAAGAUCGAAAGCAUCAUUUGGACGAAUAGGUUUUCCCUCAAAGAAAGUCAUUUGAACACAACUAUCAGGACGUUGUCGUUGAGGUUGGCUGAGUUACAAAGUUUCUAUCAGGCCCUGGAGGAAAGUAGAAAACUGAUGCAGUCAAGAAUUCGGCAGCAAGAAAAGGAGAACGAAACAAGCCUGAGAAUGAAGUAUCCCUAAGAACAAAUCUACCUCGUGUUUUAACAUUAACGGUUCCAUUCAUUUUUUCAUUCAUUUUAAGAAAAUAUUUCUCUUUGAAAAGAGGAAGUGAUUAGUCCUAUGCAUAGGAAGUAUGUUGUUGCAUGGCACUUCUAUUCCGUUCUAGUUUCAUCUUUUUAUCGCGUUCCAUCCUUUGAGUUCUGAUUGCCUCUGCUAACAAGCGUAAAGCGUGUUCAAACCCACUGUAAUAUCUUCAAACUCACAUCAUUUUAUAGACAAAUAUCGCCAAGAUGUAUUUGAUCGGGACUUUUUCCCUCGGAUGUAGGAUACGUGAUAAUAAAAUUGGUUAUCAUAAACAAUCGACGUCUCCUUUUCCUCAUUUUCUUAUUGUUUGGUGUUUUUCAAUUGUUUUAUGUAACUACUUGAUGUUGAGAAAUCUUUGUUCUUCUCUUAUCUUCAUUUCUUAUUUAAAAUUGACUCCAUAGAACGUUAACACGGAGUCACGUAAACAUGAAGUCACUUCCUUGCCUAUUAUCGCAUCGGGCUGUUCUUCUGCGAUAAGUGAGAGAACGCUCCACACGCUUAGCACCUUCUGUGAUAAUGUUUCUGGUCAUUGUUGAAGACUACAGGCAAAUAACAACGGCACCAUAGCCACUGUGAUCAUUAACAACUGCUAUAAAUCUUUCGUUAUUACCAUUGUCAAUAGAACAAGUAAAUAGCACACUAUAUUCUAGAACAACCCAAAACAACAACAAAUGGUACAAAAGAAAUGAAAGAUUAUUUCAAAACAAAAAUAUUGACAACAAUCUUUGGUGGUACAAAGUUUAAAAAUGGUAAUAAGGAAGUAAACAUUUUGAAACAAACUAGGGCAUCAAGAUUGGUGAUCAAUAAGGCAAGCGGCACUGAUUGGGCUACCUCAACAGUCAUAUGCUCACGUUUCUGAUCAGCCUUUUUUCGAUCCACAAUGGGUAUAUAUUUUUACUAGCUUAGAGUUUUCGAUCUAUUUUCCGACGUUUAAUACUCUGAUGAAUGUCAGAUGAAAAGCUUUAGUAUGUUUCAAAAUGUUUACUCUUUACAAAAUUUAGGCCGUUUGUUAUAGUUUGUCACAAGAAUCUUGUGGACAGCCUAUCUAGCGUCUCUUUUUGCAAACUUUUUGCCAAGGCUAUUAUUUUCUUGAAAAUCUUAAUGAUGAAGAAAUAUACUUGUCUAGAAUCGUUUUUAUGCUUCUCAGGCGUACUUCCAACCUUGACCAAGUUAAAAAUAAAAAUCUGCUGUCGAUUUGGCUUAAACCGUGUUUUUGAUUUGACCUUUCCUGCUGUUGUCGCGUACUAUUUUCAACAACAACUGCUAGUUAAUGUUCAAAUCUGCGAUCAGCACUAGUCAUAUCUUUUGUUCCUAAAAACUCAUCUACCUUAUCAGUCGCCUUGUGAUCGCAUAGUAAUAGUAAAGUACUUAGUAACAGCUUAGAACUUCCCUGUUCUACCCAUCUGUACAGUUCUGCCUUUACUGCAUCGACAAAUCGAUGCAAGACUGGUUUACAUUAAUUAAAUUUUUUUCAUUAUGCUCAAUUUUCUUAAAUCAUUUUGCAAUAAUUAAAGUAAGCAAGUAUAACUUAGUACUCUCUUUUAUCUCUUGGAACAUUUUCCUGUUAAAGUAUUAUCAGAAACAAUUUUUGGGUGUUUACAAGCUCAAUUUGCUAAUUGGCCUUGAAGACUGGUUGUCUCAGUCAUAUCUGGUUCACAUUACAAGUGCUGGCAAUGUUGCAUUGGAUCGCGUCAUGAUUAUAGGGAGUGUGUAUAUCGGAUCCAUAUUGGAGCAUAAGUGUAUUGGCUCCAAAUGCUCCAACCACAGUUAAUGGAAGUUUCUGAUUGAAUCGCAUUUCUAGUAUUUGAAUGUCUCUUGUCACUUUUUGGCUUGCGUGACUGAUUAGCUCGUAUCACCAGAACUUGAUUGCCUGAAAGGCUCAUAUCACAUGAAUUUGUUUGUCUGAUUGGAUCGAAUCACAAAUAUUUGAUUGUUUGGUAAGAUCGCAUUGCAAGUAAUUGACUGAUUAGCUCGUAUCACCAGAACUUGAUUGCCUGAUAGGCUCAUAUCACAUGAAUUUGUUUGUCUGAUUGGAUCGAAUCACUAAUAUUUGAUUGUUUGGUAAGAUCGCAUUGCAAGUAAUUGAAUGUCCGGUUCGCUCUUGUCAUGUUUUGGCUGGCCUGACCUAGUUCGCAUCACAAAAAUUUGAUUUUUUGUUUGGAUCGCACCAUGGGUACCUUUUUCGUUGAAUGUGUCACGAAACCAUACGUGAUCAACUGUACCAAAUUAUCAUAAACAGACUAGUUUUCAGUUUGUCCCUAGCUACGUUUGAUUUUUCACAUAUGCAGAUUCGAUGCAACGUAGCCAUGUUAUGUUACAUUGGCAUUUUAUUACAUUGGAAAAUAUCUCUAAAAGUCCUACGUAACCAAAAGACAAAAUAUCCCCGAAAACAAUUUCAUAGCUGAUCCAUGCCAAUUUCACUUUGUUACCCAGACCUCAAAGAAAUUUAGAGUGUGAUGUCUUUGAGAAAUGUUAUCGAUUUUUUUAUUUUUGAUAACAAAUCCGGCAAUAUUCUUGAAAGAACUGAGCUUCGCUGUUGAUUUGACCUAUCUCGUAGUUUUUAGAACCAAAUGAUAGUAAUCUUACGGAAAGAGCAUGUGCUCAUGAUGUCAUAUCCUAUUUGUAACACGUAACCCGUAGUCCCUAUUCUCCACCCCUCAAAUGAAUGCCCAAUUAAUCAUGUUUCAGAUCAAAUAACAACCGCCCUUUUCAACUUCCCUUAGAAAAACGCCCCCGUCGUAGAAGCCGUCUGUUAAAAAAUGUAGAGAAAGUAAACAGGAUAACGUAAAUCUUUGCUGGUUUUUUAUGGAACUGAUAACGUCGUGGCAAUGAAUUCAAGAGAAAAAAUUUGUCUUUCAUGAAAUCAUGCAUUGGCUGUUUAUGGCUUGGAAGAUACACUUAUUUCUUGUCUCAACGAAGAAAUGCUCUAGUGGAUCAUGUCGACACUAACCAUGAGCCCCGACAAAGGUUGAAAAGUGGGGGGGGCCAAGGAAA